GUCAGUAACAGCUGCAAGUAGAAAAGAAGAAACACGGGGAGUCGCUAAGUAGGAUAACAUGCUCUUAAUUUCAGCGACAAAUUAAGUUAAGUUGCUGGAUGCCCUUACCGCGAUUAAAAGACCAAUCUCAACAGAGGCAAAAACCACGCCAAAAAAUGCCCCCAUGCAAGCGACAAAAUCAAAUUUGUCAAUCUUCCAAA